AUGGCUACCCGUGGGCUGACUCCAUCAUCGUCAUCCAGGUCCGUGACAUUGACAACCGACCCCUCCCCUUCCUCCUCUACCCAUGCGGUUGCUGCGCCGCCGCCGGAGACGGUGGUUUUGCUUCUGCGGCUGAGGCGGCGCGACGAAGAAGGUGUCCUCGAAGCGGCGCGUUUAGCUAUGGUUCGUGCCGCCGGAUGCUAUCCGACAGUGUAUACCCAGGGUUGCCUUCUAUCCAUGUUCAUUUUGUUCUUCAUUCCUUCAUUGGGGUUCAUAUCAGAUUAG
rnacentral:rRNA from 1 species